rnacentral:rRNA from 1 species
UACGAAGGGGGCUAGCGUUGUUCGGAAUUACUGGGCGUAAAGCGCACGUAGGCGGACUAUUAAGUCAGGGGUGAAAGCCCGGGGCUCAACCCCGGAACUGCCUUUAAGACUGCAUCGCUUGAAUCCAGGAGAGGUGAGUGGAAUUCCGAGUGUAGAGGUGAAAUUCGUAGAUAUUCGGAAGAACACCAGUGGCGAAGGCGGCUCACUGGCCUGGUAUUGACGCUGAGGUGCGAAAGCGUGGGGAGCAAACAGG